rnacentral:rRNA from 1 species
UACGGAGGGUGCAAGCGUUAUCCGGAUUCACUGGGUUUAAAGGGUGCGUAGGUGGGUUGGUAAGUCAGUGGUGAAAUCUCCGUGCUUAACAUGGAAACUGCCAUUGAUACUACUGAUCUUGAAUUUUCAGGAGGUAAGCGGAAUAUGUCAUGUAGCGGUGAAAUGACUUAGAUAUGACAUAGAACACCAAUUGCGAAAGGCAGCUUACUACAGGAAUAUUGACACUGAUGCACGAAAGCGUGGGGAUCAAACAGG